AUCCCCUUCGGGGGUGACGCUUGUGGAAUGAGCGGCGGACGGGUGAGUAACACGUGGGCAACCUGCCUGUAAGACUGGGAUAACCCCGGGAAACCGGGGCUAAUACCGGAUAAUACUUUCUUUUGCAUAAAGGAAAGUUGAAAGGCGGCUUCGGCUGUCACUUACAGAUGGGCCCGCGGCGCAUUAGCUAGUUGGUGAGGUAACGGCUCACCAAGGCGACGAUGCGUAGCCGACCUGAGAGGGUGAUCGGCCACACUGGGACUGAGACACGGCCCAGACUCCUACGGGAGGCAGCAGUAGGGAAUCUUCCGCAAUGGACGAAAGUCUGACGGAGCAACGCCGCGUGAGUGAUGAAGGUUUUCGGAUCGUAAAACUCUGUUGUUAGGGAAGAACAAGUACGAUAGUAACUGAUCGUACCUUGACGGUACCUAACCAGAAAGCCACGGCUAACUACGUGCCAGCAGCCGCGGUAAUACGUAGGUGGCAAGCGUUGUCCGGAAUUAUUGGGCGUAAAGCGCUCGCAUGCGGUCCUUUAAGUCUGAUGUGAAAUCUCGCGGCUCAACCGCGAACGGUCAUUGGAAACUGGAGGACUUGAGUACAA
rnacentral:rRNA from 1 species